AACGAACGCUGGCGGCAUGCCUAACACAUGCAAGUCGAACGAGACCUUCGUGUCUAUUUGCGCACGUGUGCGUAACGCGUGGGAACCUGCCCUUAGGUUCGGAAUAACUCCCCGAAAGGUGUGCUAAUACCGGAUAAUGUCUUCCGACCAAAGAUUUAUCGCCUUUGGAUGGGCCCGCGUUGGAUUAGCUAGUUGGUAGUGUAAAAGCCUACCAAGGCGACGAUCCAUAGCUGGUCUGAGAGGAUGAUAAGCCACACUGGGACUGAGACACGGCCCAGACUCCUACGGGAGGCAGCAGUGGGGAAUAUUGGAGGAGGGGCGAAAGUCUGAUCCAGCAAUGCCGCGUGAGUGAUGAAGGCCUUAGGGUUGUAAAGCUCUUUUACACGGGAUGAUAAUGACAGUACCGGGAGAAUAAGCUCCGGCUAACUCCGUG
rnacentral:rRNA from 1 species